rnacentral:rRNA from 1 species
AUGAGAUUUCUUUCUACGGAUAUGAAGGAUAGAAAUAUGCUAUUUGCUGCUAUUCCAUCUAUUUGUGCAUCAAGUCCGAAGAAUAUCUCAAUCUAUAAUGAAGAAAUGAUAGUAGCUCGUUGUUUUAUAGGCUUUCUCAUAUUCAGUCGGAAAAGUUUAGGUAAGACUUUCAAAGAAACUCUCAACGGGAGAAUCGAGUCUAUUCAGGAAGAAUUGCAGCAAUUCUUCAAUCCUAACGAAGUAAUUCCGGAGGAAUCCAAUGAACAACAACAAUUACUUAGGAUCAGCUUGCGAAUUUGCAGCACCGUAGUAGAAUCAUUACCAACGACACGUUGUGCGCCUAAGUGCGAAAAGACAGUGCAAGCUUUGUUAUGCCGAAACCUAAAUGUAAAGUCAGCAACACUUCUAAAUGCCACUUCUUCCUGCCGCAUCCGUCUUCAGGACGAUAUAGUCACAUGUUUUCACUUUUCAAUGAGUGAAAGAUUUGUAUCCGGGUCUACGUUCAAAGCUUCUACCAUAGACCUAAUUCGAGAAGGCUUGAUAGUCCUAAGAAAGGUGAGGGUGGGGGGUUCUAUUUAG